rnacentral:rRNA from 1 species
AACGAACGCUGGCGGCAUGCCUAACACAUGCAAGUCGAACGAUUGCCUUCGGGUGAUAGUGGCGCACGGGUGCGUAACGCGGGGGAAUCUGCCCUUAGGUUCGGAAUAACAGCUGGAAACGGCUGCUCAUACCGGAUGAUAUCGCGAGAUCAAAGAUUUAUUGCCUGAGGAUGAGCCCGCGUUGGAUUCGGUAGUUGGUGGGAUAAACGCCUACCAAGCCGACGAUCCAUAGCUGGUCUGAGAGGCUGAUCAGCCACACUGGGACUGAGACGCGGCCCAGACUCCUACGCGAGGCAGCAGUGGGGGAUAUAGGACAAUCGGCUCAAUGCUGAACCAGCAAUGCCGCGUGAGUGAUGAAGGCGCUAGAGUAGUAAAGCUCUUUUACCCGGGAAGAUAAUGACGGUACCGGGAGAAUAAGCCCCGGCUAACUCCGUG